rnacentral:misc_RNA from 1 species
AACGCAAAUUGCGCUCGAGGCCUCGGCCAAGAGCAUGUCUGCCUCAGCGUCGGGUUAAAACUCAUCACAACCAUCCAUGUGGUGGUUGUAAGGUGGAACUGGCCGUCCUGCCGACCUCGUUACAUGACGUCACGAGAAAAGCGGGUCAGCUGAAGCGAAGCUGUUGCUGAUGGACCCUACUAUAUGGGCCUCUACUGGGUAGGCAACUUGUUUGCUGUAAUGCUUUAGUAGGUGGCUUUGGGACUGUGAGCAGCACAAACCAGGAAUGUUCUUAACGAGCAUAAGCCCUCCUUUUCUCGACCUGAGCUCAGGCAAGAUUACCCGCUGAACUUAA